GGCUGCUCUUCCCGCCCUUUCUGUGCUGCUUUCUGUUCCCGCCUAGAAAGUUCCAGAAUAUCUCUGCGCUUUUUUUUGCUUGCGAUCUCUCUGGCUCACUGGUGUCUGUUCCUGUGUAUCAGGAGGGCCAGACACAAUGCAGGAAGAGCCCAAAUGUCCCCAGGGCGGAGGGACGCUGAAGAACAUCUCGCAGAAAGGCUGCCUAGACGCAGACGUGCUGGACACUGCUUGCGUAGACCCGGCAAUCAGAAGACAGAAUAGAAGUGAAGCAAACUCCACCAGCUUUUCCAGCACAUCAAGUUUGAAAUCUGUGAUUUAUGAAAGAGAACCCUGGUUUUAAAGGCACUGAGAAGGACUGCGCUGGACAAAGGAAUUGCUACCAUAUAGAGAGGAGCUCGGUGCUCUUCAGAGAUGCUCAAGAUGAGUGUAGUGACUGUGAAUAAGUAGCUACACCACCAGAGAUCUACACCACCAGAGAUCUACACCGCCAGAGAUCUACACUGCCAGAGAUCUA